rnacentral:rRNA from 1 species
GAAUUUUGGACAAUGGGCGAAAGCCUGAUCCAGCAAUGCCGCGUGCAGGAUGAAGGCCUUCGGGUUGUAAACUGCUUUUGUACGGAACGAAAAGUCUCGGGAUAAUACCCUGGGACCAUGACGGUACCGUAAGAAUCAGCACCGGCUAACUACGUGCCAGCAGCCGCGGUAAUACGUAGGGGUCAAGCGUUACUCGGACUUACUGGGCGUAAAGCGUGCGCAGGCGGUUUUGUAAGACAGAGGUGAAAUCCCCGGGCCUAACCUGGGAACUGUCUUUGUGACUGCAAGGCUAGAGUACGGCAGAGGGGGGUGGAAUUCCGCGUGUAGCAGUGAAAUGCGUAGAUAUGCGGAGGAACACCGAUGGCGAAGGCAACCCCCUGGGCCUGUACUGACGCUCAUGCACGAAAGCGUGGGGAGCAAACAG